CCUACGGGGUGCAGCAGUGGGGAAUAUUGCACAAUGGGGGAAACCCUGAUGCAGCAACGCCGCGUGAGUGAUGACGGCCUUCGGGUUGUAAAGCUCUGUCUUCAGGGGCGAUAAUGACGGUACCUGAAGAGGAAGCCACGGCUAACUACGUGCCAGCAGCCGCGGUAAUACGUAGGUGGCGAGCGUUGUCCGGAUUUACUGGGCGUAAAGGGUGCGUAGGCGGAUCGUUAAGUCAGUGGUCAAAUUGAGGGGCUCAACCCCUUCCCGCCAUUGAAACUGGCGUUCUUGAGUGGAAGAGAAGUAUGCGGAAUGCGUGGUGUAGCGGUGAAAUGCAUAGAUAUCACGCAGAACCCCGAUUGCGAAGGCAGCAUGCCGGCUUCCGACUGACGCUGAAGCACGAAAGCGUGGGGAUCGAACAGGAUUAGAUACCCGGGUAGUC
rnacentral:rRNA from 1 species